rnacentral:tRNA from 1 species
AAGGCUUUAAUUUAAUUAAAGUGCCUGAGUUGCAUUCAGGAGAUGUGGGUUAAUAUCCUGCAGGUCUUA